GUUUGAAAUAAUGAUGCUGUACUGUUUUCAUCCACAGGCAAUAGUGGGAAGCGAAGUUCACUAAGCGACGAUUCUUAUACAGGAGGCUACAAUAUCUUUCAGGCGAACCCAUACAAGCGCAUGAACGAUAUUCAGCAAUGUUCUCUGCCGCAAAUAUACGACCUCUUACCAACUGAAUGCUCAGAAACAUUGGACAUGCUUGUAGAGUGGGCACGACGUGGACUGCAAGCCAAUGAAUAAAUCAACGAUGCUUACGGUUAGACAUUUUUGCAUUCAACACGCAACGUGGUUGAUCGUCAACAUCAUUUUUUGAAAAUUAGUCUGGUGCAGAUUUAUGCCAGUAAAAAAAAAGAAAUGUAUCUCUUUUGCUUUCUUUAAUUCUACAUCAUAGGGAGGGUACAGUUCAUUUGUCAAACCUAUGUCUUAAUAGACCGUGCAAGUUUCGCGUGUAUUCGGACAUGAGUUCACAUACAGUUUUAACUCGUGCAGGAAACAAACUCCACGGUACGGGAUCUGAUGUUCGAAUACGCGCAAGACUUGCGUAGUAUGUUGUUUGAACGUUAUUGCAGACACUUAAACUAAAUUAUGUCUGAUAUAACGGUGACUAGGAUAGUUCAAAACAUAUAGAAAACUGAAGGGGCAAAACAAAAAAUUGCUUUCAGAUUGUUAGGGCCUUGUCACAUGAGGCAACUAGUCCAUGUAGCUUGGAGGCCUCCAACUGCAGUGCAUGCUACAUGACCACUUUAGUAGCACAGGAGUCAUUUGUUAAACAACGGCUUGGGCCUACGGUUCCAAAGCAAGAUAUGAGAACUUCCAAAUAUGAAUUGAUUCUAUUCUUGGAGAUUGCCUGGAACUGGUUGUCUGUAAAUAAUUACUCAUGUGUAUUGGCUCUUAGCGUCUAUACAAAAAGCAUUUCCUACACUAACAUAAACCAAACAUGAACUUUUAUUAUCUCAACUUAUGUACAUUCUGAUGUGUACCUUUCGUUUCGUUUAGUGUUUGCUGUGUUAAAUACGUGCUACUGUGUCUAUACUUAACAAGUCGAAUCAUGAACUUGUUAAACAAAAUUAAUGUGUAAAUUUUAAUAUUUCAUGUUAAUAAAAAUGCUUACAAAAUGUUCUGCUUUUCAUAAUGGGAAACGAUUGGCAGAAAAGCAUGUGACUUUUGCAUUUAAGCAAAAUUUCAUAAAGCCGUUAGGAAGAAAUAAUUUGCUUAGUAGUUUUUUUUUCGGUAAGCAAAACAUGGCAUGGACAACAGUCACUACAGAUUAAGACGUUUAUGGUUAAACAGCUGGCGAUCCAUUCCUGCUUAACCGACUUUGUUUGGUAUUUGCUCACCAUGACGUACAAUGUACGCCAGGCUCUGGUCUCAUGACCCGUUCAUGCACAUUAGGUACUGGCUUCAAACAGCCAGACGAAGCGUCAAAUCUGAGCCUUCUCCCAACCCGUGGUUUCAAAAAGGGCCAUGAGCUAUGACUUAUUGAGCUGUUACAAGUUGCCAGUUUUCUAAAGAUAGGCCUACUAUGAAAUUUGAUCUAAAAGUAAGUCUAUGUUAUGGACCGCCCAGAGAGCAGAAAACAUCCGCUUUCGUUUUUCCCCGUUUUUCUUCUCCAAAACGCGAAUUUUGUAUUUUAUUUAUUUUUUUCAUUUAUUAUACCCCCCCCCAAUCAUAAUCUGCAUUUUUUAAUACACUGCGGUGGUGUUGUGUUUUGUUUAUGAAGUAUGGAAUGCACUAACACGCAUUUCACUCGAUGUGUUUUCCACAUUCUGAGCAACCCUUCUGCAUUUUGAACUUUUGGGCUCCGAAUUUUACUUAAAAUUAUACCUUUGUGUAGAUUGUUAAACUAUUGUGCGGUGCAAAUUACUUAGGCGUGCAUUAAAUGUAAUUAAAAUCGUCUAUGUUAAACUGUUGAUCUUUUUGCCAAAAUUGUUCAACUCAAGUGCCUUCUAAAGUAGUGUUAAAUAUCAACUCAUAAUUAUUCACAAAAUCAAAGGGCAAUCUAUUAGUCAAACCUGGUACCUUUAGUUUCUUUCAAGUUGCAGCAAAAACAAAAGUAAAACAGCUUAGCAUUACACAAGUUGUUAGCACUUCUUGUAAACUAGUACCUGGUAACAUAAAACAAACUCAUUAUGAAUUUGCAGUUGGUUUCUGCUGGGGUCGCAUUGCGAGGACAUUGUUAUUGUUUAGACUUGGUAUACUAUUAGGUCAUAUUGUUUGGUAAGCAGUUUGCAACAGCUAAUUUCCUCGAAAGCGAAGGUUUUAAGGAAGCUUGGUUGACUCGUUUCGCAUAGCUAGAAUUGUAAAGAAAAACAUUUUGGAUGAAGAUGAACAUAUUCAUAGUAUUAUCAAAUUCAGAGUCUUUGAAAAUCUUUUUUUUUUUUGGCAAACGCUUCAGACAAUGUGGUUUUUGAAUAACCUCCUAUGUCCACCCCCCCCCGCCCCAAAAAAAAGCAAAAAAAAAAAAGCACAACUAACUUUCGCAGAAAACCGGUAAGCGGUUGUACCUUUAUUUAAAACGAUUAACGCCCGCUGUGUGAAACUUCGAGCAGCGCUAAAUCCAGCCUUAUUUUCCCACUAAUUCAUAUAUUACAAUAGGUGUCAGUUUUUAAGAAUAAUUCAUGAAUAUAGUCUUAAUUAUUCAUUGAUAAUACAAAUAAAUAUACCCUUAAGAAGUUAAGAUAAUUAAAUAUUCAUUGUAUUUGGCGGGCAAUGUGAUAUUUGGUUAAUUCCCACCUAUGUUUUAUCUUAAUAGAAGUAAAGUAAAAAAAAAAAAAAAAAAAAAA